GGGCCGGUAACUCAGUGGUAGAGGUUCGUACGCCCACACGCUUUUCCCAUGAUCUCAUCCUAACUUCUCUUCAGUGUAGGAUUGCAGCCUUCCGUAGCCGUUUAUCCCGAAGUCACCGGUUCGACUCCGGUUCGGCCCU